rnacentral:pre_miRNA from 1 species
AGUAGAAUUGCUGGGCCAUAUGGUAACUCUAUGUUUAACUUUUUGAGAAGCUGUCAGACUGUUUUCCAAAGUGGCUGCACCACUUUAUAUUCCCACCAGCAGU